CCCCUCUCUUUCUCUUAUUUCUAUUCCAUCACUUUAAAUAUGAAAAGAGAUAUUAAGAAGGGCACAUUUUAUUUUAUAUUCAGUCUUUUAGCCAGUGUCCACUAAUGCAGAAUGUUGUUAAAGUAGCGACUGUUGUUCUUUAGUAAUUUUUCCUGAUAUUACAUGUAUAUAGUGCUUUUGUACAUUCUCUAAUUGUGUUACAUUUUUCCUAAGCACUCUUUCUUUCCUUUGUAUACAGAUCGAAAUGUGAAUAUAAUUCAAUCUAUUAUACUCAUCAUUGCCCAGAAAGCACCUUGAAUUUAUCCCUGACCAAUUUAUACAGGGGUUUAUGAAGAACUCCUGCUUUCAUACUAGCAAUAGUACAGCUUAAAGCUCACAUCUGCCUGCCUUGUGUCAUCAGUUUUAGAGUCUCUGUAGCCUGGCAACCAUGUACGCAUAUGUGAUUGGAGGGUUAUGCUGGCUUACUAGCACAGACUGGGGACGGCGGCGAUGUGAUUACAUAUGUCGUGCAGCAGGGACUGCUCAGAGAAGAGGCAGCCAAAGAUUCCUGUCAAAACCACCCUAGGACUGGUCAGCAAGACAAUGCACCAAACAAGGAAGUAUGAAUAAAUUUUCCAAUCCAUGAACACUCUCUAGAAGUAGUGAAAAUUCCAGUUAGUCACUAAUUUAUCUUCUUCAUGUUCAGUGACAUAGGAAGUAUGAAUAAAUUUUCCAAUCCAUGAACACUAUUUAGAAGGGUGAAUAUUCACAGUUAGUCACCAACUGAAACGUCUUCAAGUGCAAUGAGUACUCUCCACGGAAACUAAGAUCCUAUUGCAUCGAUGUGAGCCAGUCAGUAGACCUUUGACAGAAAGUAAGUCGUAAAAGCUCUGUACAGUAUACAUA
rnacentral:sRNA from 1 species